AACGCAUAUUGCGCCUGAGCCUUUGGCUUGGGCAUGUCUGCCUCAGCGUCGGUUUAAACACUUGCUUACUGCAACCACUUGUGGUUACAGGUAUAGCAGCCCUGGCCCUUGGGUACCAUUCGGGCCCAUCGGCUUAUGCUUGAAGGGUUAGCCCCCACCGCGCACACUAGCCUGCUGCAAGCAGCUAAUGGCGACCGGCUUCAAUGGUCUGGUGGCUUUGGCCUCAUUGCCUUGAAAACGGUAACGCAUUGCUGCCUACACGGGCCUAAAGUGACGGGUACAGUUGCCGCUUAGCGGUUGCUGGCUAGGCUAACCGUCUGGCACCUCUCUUAGAUGUGGCAGAAACGUUACCACUAUGGUAAUACAACAAACCUUCGACCUGAGUUCAGGCAGGGCCACCCGCUGAACUUAA
rnacentral:misc_RNA from 1 species